ensembl:snoRNA small nucleolar RNA SNORA31
CUGCAUCCACUGAUAGACCUGAAGCAGGUUUCCUUGGCUUUUGGGUUUGCAUAGAGAUGCUAAAUAAAAGUUUCCUCGCGCUUUCUGACUGCCACAUUAUAUGGCGGCCCAGAUUGAAUUGAGGAAUACAAUU